CGUCGGUAUGUCGUCGGAAUAGCGUUAUUCCGACGACAUACCGACAAUUUUUUCCCUCAGUAUGCCGCUGUUUUCUCGUAGUGCUACGUCACAUUUGUAAUCAUCGCUGCUACUUAAAAUAUGAAUAUAUACUAUGGGUUUUGAUUAUUAACGCGAAACUUAAUUACAAGUAUUAUGUGAAUAUGUUCUCAUCUUCAAUAAUAAUAAGUUCUGAUAUUUAUUUUGAGUCUGCAACCACACAAGCUCUCAUUCCGUCAUUACUUCCCUUAUGUUGUCUUAAAUGAAAGCAGCUGACUUUCUUGUGGAAAUUAAUUCCCUACUUUUCAUAUAUCACCAGUUUUUAUUUCCAUAUCUCGCAAACGCAUUAAAGAUAAUAAAAGCAUACACCUAUCAAAAUGAUGACACAUCUCCAUCUAAGUAUGUGUAGACAUACAUACUUUCAGAUCAUUGUGUGGAUGUUAAAAACACAACCACACACUUAUCGAAUAACAGCUUAGCUAGGUCAAUGAACAUUAAUUGUGUGGAUGUUAAAAACAUAACCACAAACUUAUCAAUAACAGAUUAACAGCUUAGGUCAAUGAACAUACACAUGUUUUAGCAAAUUCUCUUUUUUUUUCCUGUGAAUUUUUUUGUUAUAAAUUCUUCAAAAACUGGUUAUAUGUUAAUAAAUGCUUACUGGGAGAACAGAUUUUUCAACACAUAAUGUUAUUGAAGAUACGACUUUCUUAAGUGAUAUAAAAUGUUUUUUUGCCACAUCUAAAAUCAUUUUUGUCAGCAUCUAAAACGAUAAAAUUAUUUUCGUUGGAUUCCCUUAUGAGUAUGAAAGAAACAAAAUUAGAAAAAUAUUGCCAUGGAGAUUUUCGAAAGGGUCAAAAUCAGACCACGAGGUUUCAAAAUCAAAAAAGAAAAAGAAAUGGAGAAGAAAGAAGGGUCGGUGACAUAUGUAUCUGUGGUCCCUUUUGCCUUUGUCUUUUUCUCUUUCCCUCGUGUAUAAGGAAGGCGUUGAGUUGACAACCAAUAUUAAAGCAUACAAAAGGCUUUUUAAAUGGGCAGACAUGUUAGAUUAUCUAAGAUUGGGUCAAGCCCAUUUAGAAGUUAGGACGUGAUAAUAAACUGUGAUGGCUUUUUAAGACGGCGACCGGAUCGAGCGGCGGCGAUUGAUUUGGAUCUGAAAGAAUGUUUCGGAGGAACAGGUUCUUGUCUCUUCCGAUGGUCGUUGGAGCUGUUGUGAUUGGUGUCGUUUCAGGUAAAGCGAUUUUCGGGCCACCACUAGAUCAGUAUUGGCAGAAGAAGCUCGAAGGAGGAGCUGCUGCCAAGGAAGCUAUUGAAAAGAGCUCAGAUUAAAGCAGCAUAAUCUUCCUAAAGAUUUUGGUUUUAUGACCAGAGACUCGUGUAAAAUCACAGACCAUAAACUAAAGAGCUUCGAUAAUUGUUUGCGAAACUAUAUAAAGAAGCAUUCUUUAGUGUAGGAUGCGAUACAAAAUGCCAGAAAGUGUAAUAAUGUUGUAAGUGCCUUGCGUAUUACGUUUUUGCAAAUCGAAGGAGAAUGAUAAACCCUAAAGCAUCA